GACGAACGCUGGCGGCGUGCUUAACACAUGCAAGUCGAGCGGUAAGGCCCUUUCGGGGGUACACGAGCGGCGAACGGGUGAGUAACACGUGGGUGACCUGCCCUCAGCUCUGGGAUAAGCCUGGGAAACCGGGUCUAAUACUGGAUAUGACUCCAUGACGCAUGCUGUGGGGUGGAAAGCCUUGUGCGGCUGAGGAUGGGCCCGCGGCCUAUCAGCUUGUUGGUGGGGUGAUGGCCUACCAAGGCGACGACGGGUAGCCGGCCUGAGAGGGCGACCGGCCACACUGGGACUGAGACACGGCCCAGACUCCUACGGGAGGCAGCAGUGGGGAAUCUUGCGCAAUGGGCGAAAGCCUGACGCAGCGACGCCGCGUGAGGGAUGACGGCCUGG
rnacentral:rRNA from 1 species